CUUCGAGUCCAAGGGGGGAGAUAUAGUUAUUCUAAAAAGUAUCAUUAGGCCAAUAGAAACAGUUGCAAUCAGAGUACUUAAAAGCACAGAUGCAUUUGAAGAAGUAGAAAGGGAAGAACUAGGAUCUAACUAUUGAAAAGUAUAUGUUCAAGUGUCAGUCAAACCUAAUGAGAGCUUGAUCUAAUUAUAUGGACUUGUCAAAACUGUUGGACAAGCUAUUAGAGCUUAUGUUGCUUGGCCUGCUCCAUUUGUGAUAUAUUUUUUUCGUAAAUACUAAUUUCAUUAACAAAUUUAUAUUAAUUUAAUAUAGUUUCAAUUACCUUUAUA